UCACACACAGACAACAUGAAGCCAAGAUGUUUCUGAAACAGAAACUCCAGCGAAAUUAGGUGUUGUGACCUGAGGAUGAGGAGACUGGCAAACGAGAGGGCAGCAUCAUCUCCAUGGGAAGUGAUGACCCAGGGGAUCAUUCUAAGAGGGGAAAGCAGACCGAGCCAAGGCACGUUGCCACGAAGAGUGACAAUAGCGCCACAGGAACACGACAUGGGUCGAAUCACUGCCUCAAGGUAGUGUUCAAAGAGAGGACAGGCUUGUUCUCUCAGAGUACGUUUCUUUUUGCCUUCAGUGGCAAGAGUUCAAUAAUGAAUUGAUAAAGUGUACUGAGAAAUUGGACUAACUUCAAAUAUUCUGGUAGGAAUAAAACA